GUCUUACACAUGCAAGUCGAACGAUGAAGCCCAGCUUGCUGGGUGGAAGAGUGGCGAACGGGUGAGUAACACGUGAGCAACCUGCCCUUCACUCUGGGAUAAGCACUGGAAACGGUGUCUAAUACUGGAUAUGCACAAUGGCCGCAUGGUCUGUUGUGGGAAAGAUUUAUCGGUGAAGGAUGGGCUCGCGGCCUAUCAGCUUGUUGGUGAGGUAGUGGCUCACCAAGGCGACGACGGGUAGCCGGCCUGAGAGGGUGACCGGCCACACUGGGACUGAGACACGGCCCAGACUCCUACGGGAGGCAGCAGUGGGGAAUAUUGCACAAUGGGCGCAAGCCUGAUGCAGCAACGCCGCGUGAGGGAUGACGGCCUUCGGGUUGUAAACCUCUUUUAGUAGGGAAGAAGCGAAAGUGACGGUACCUGCAAAAAAAGCACCGGCUAACUACGUGCCAGCAGCCGCGGUAAUACGUAGGGUGCAAGCGUUGUCCGGAAUUAUUGGGCGUAAAGAGCUCGUAGGCGGCUUGUCGCGUCUGCUGUGAAAACCCGAGGCUCAACCUCGGGGCCUGCAUGGGGUACGGGCAGGCUAGAGUGCGGUAGGGGAGAUUGGAAUUCCUGGUGUAGCGGUGGAA
rnacentral:rRNA from 1 species